rnacentral:lncRNA from 1 species
ACUGGGAAGGACAGAAAGAGCACUCAGAGGCCCUGGGGAGCCCUGGGAUGGACUGGGAGGCACUGGAAGGGCACUGGGAGGCACUGGGAAGGACAGGAAGGGCACUGGGAGGCCCUGGGGAGCCCUGGGAUGGACUGGGAGGCACUGGGAGGUAUUGGGAAGGACAAUGAGAGGCACUGGGAAGCACUGGGAUGGACUGAGAGGCACUGGAAGGGCACUGGGAAGGGCACUCAGAGGUCCUGGGGAGCACUGGGAUGGACUGGGAAGGGCACUGGGAAGCACUGGGAUGGACUGGGAGACACUAGGAAGGGCACUGGGAAGGACAGGAAGAGCACUCAGAGGCCCUGGGGAGCCCUGGGAUGGACUGGGAAGCACUGGAAAGGCACUGGAGGCCACUGGGAGGCACUGGGAUGCCCCAGGAGGCACUGGGAAAGCACUGGGAAGGCCCUAAGAAGGCAGUGGGAGGCACUGGAGAGCACUGGGUUGCCCCAGGAGGGACUGGGACAACUCAAGAGGCACUGGGAAGCUCUGGAGGCCACUGGGAGGCACUCGGAUGCCCUGGGAGGCACUGGGACAACACAAGAGGCACUGGGAAGCUCUGGAGGCCACUGGGAGGCACUGGGAUGCCCCGGGAGGCACUGGGAAAGCACUGGGAAGGCACUGGGAAGGCACUGGGAAGGCACUGGGAGGCACUGGUUGCCACCCGCGCCGCCCCGGGCCGGGGUGCGGUGGGAGGGUGGGACUGCCCCGACCGGCCCCGCUCCCUCCCGGGGUGGCCCCAGCUCAGGCGGGGCCCCACGGGGAUUUAAGGAGCUGGGGCCCCCGCGCCCCAUCACCUUCCUCUUCCUCCCACCGCCAUGGAGCGCCUCCUGCCCCUGCUGCUCCUGGCCGCCGGUACGGGUACUGGGAGGCACUGGGAGGGCACUGGGAGGGCACUGGGAGGAGGCUGGGGGCCGCUAGGGGGCGCUGGGAGGCACUGGGAGGCACUGGGAGGGGGGUGGGGG